GACGAACGCUGGCGGCGUGCUUAACACAUGCAAGUCGAACGGAAAGGCCCCCUUGUGGGGUACUCGAGUGGCGAACGGGUGAGUAACACGUGAGUAACCUACCCUUGACUUUGGGAUAACUUCAGGAAACUGGGGCUAAUACCGGAUAGGAGCUCCUGCUGCAUGGUGGGGGUUGGAAAGUUUCGGCGGUUGGGGAUGGACUCGCGGCUUAUCAGCUUGUUGGUGGGGUAGAGGCUCACCAAGGCUUUGACGGGUAGCCGGCCUGAGAGGGUGACCGGCCACAUUGGGACUGAGAUACGGCCCAGACUCCUACGGGAGGCAGCAGUGGGGAAUAUUGCACAAUGGGCGGAAGCCUGAUGCAGCAACGCCGCGUGCGGGAUGACGGCCUUCGGGUUGUAAACCGCUUUCGCCUGUGACGAAGCGUGAGUGACGGUAAUGGGUAAAGAAGCACCGGCUAACUACGUG
rnacentral:rRNA from 1 species